rnacentral:rRNA from 1 species
UAAUACGUAGGGUGCGAGCGUUAAUCGGAAUUACUGGGCGUAAAGCGUGCGCAGGCGGUUUUGUAAGACAGAUGUGAAAUCCCCGGGCUUAACCUGGGAACUGCGUUUGUGACUGCAAGGCUAGAGUACGGCAGAGGGGGGUGGAAUUCCUGGUGUAGCAGUGAAAUGCGUAGAGAUCAGGAGGAACACCGAUGGCGAAGGCAGCCCCCUGGGCCUGUACUGACGCUCAUGCACGAAAGCGUGGGGAGCAAACAGGAUUAGAUACCCUGGUAGUCCACGCCCUAAACGAUGUCGACUAGUCGUUCGGAGCAGCAAUGCACUGAGUGACGCAGCUAACGCGUGAAGUCGACCGCCUGGGGAGUACGGCCGCAAGGUUAAAACUCAAAUGAAUUGACGG